rnacentral:precursor_RNA from 1 species
GUAGUCGACAUCUACCAAUGUGGCUCAGACUAGAAGUUAGUGACUUCAACGACUGAUGCCACGUUUUGGUUUGGCCGCC